UACGUAGGGUGCGAGCGUUAAUCGGAAUUACUGGGCGUAAAGCGUGCGCAGGCGGUUCUCCAAGUCCGUUGUGAAAGCCCCGGGCUCAACCUGGGAACCGCGCUUGAGACUGGCAUGCUCGAGUUCGGGAGAGGAUGGUGGAAUUCCCAGUGUAGAGGUGAAAUUCGUAGAUAUUGGGAAGAACACCGAUGGCGAAGGCAGCCAUCUGGACCGACACUGACGCUGAGGCGCGAAAGCGUGGGGAGCAAACAGG
rnacentral:rRNA from 1 species